AUUGAACGCUGGCGGCAUGCUUUACACAUGCAAGUCGAACGGUAACAGGUUAAGCUGACGAGUGGCGAACGGGUGAGUAAUGCAUCGGAACGUGCCCGAUCGUGGGGGAUAACGCAGCGAAAGCUGCGCUAAUACCGCAUACGAUCUGAGGAUGAAAGCGGGGGACCGUAAGGCCUCGCGCGAUCGGAGCGGCCGAUGUCAGAUUAGGUAGUUGGUGGGGUAAAGGCUCACCAAGCCAACGAUCUGUAGCUGGUCUGAGAGGACGACCAGCCACCCUGGGACGGAGACACGGCCCAGACUCCUGCGGGAGGCAGCAGUGGGGAAUUUUGGACAAUGGGCGAAAGCCUGAUCCAGCAAUGCCGCGUGCAGGAAGAAGGCCUUCGGGUUGUAAACUGCUUUUGUACGGAGCGAAAAGGCCCUCUCUAAUACAGUGGGCUCAUGACGGUACCGUAAGAAUAAGCACCGGCUAACUACGUGCCAGCCGCCGCAGUAA
rnacentral:rRNA from 1 species